rnacentral:rRNA from 1 species
AAUAAACGCUGGCGGCGUGCCUAACACAUGCAAGUCGAGCGAGAAAAGUCUUCGGACUUAGUACAGCGGCGGACGGGUGAGUAACGCGUAAGAAUCUGCCUUUUAGUGGAGAAUACCCUCGAGAAAUCGAGGUUAAUACUGCAUACGUUCCGUAAGGAAGAAAGAUGGCCUCUUUGCUGUCGCUAAAAGAUGAGCUUGCGUACUAUUAGCUAGUUGGUAGGGUAAAGGCCUACCAAGGCAAAGAUGGUUAGCCGGCCUGAGAGGGUGUACGGCCACAUUGGAACUGAGACACGGUCCAGACUCCUACGGGAGGCAGCAGUGAGGAAUAUUGCGCAAUGGGCGAAAGCCUGACGCAGCGACGCCGCGUGGAGGAUGAAGGUCUUAGGAUUGUAAACUUCUGUUAAACGGGAAGAAAUAACCGGUCUUAAUACGAUCGGGAGAUGACGGUACCGUUAGAGAAAGCACUGGCUAAUCUCGUGCCAGCAGCCGCCGUAAAAC